GCUGUAGCUCAGUGGUGGAGCAUCUGCUUUGCACACAGAAGGUCCCAGGUUCAAAUCCCGGCAUCUCCA